AAAGAAGUCCUGGCUAAAUCCGUGCCAGCAGCCGCGGUAAUACGGAGAGGGCUAGCGUUAUUCGGAAUUAUUGGGCGUAAAGAGCGCGUAGGCUGGUUAGUAAGUCAAAAGUGAAAUCCCAAGGCUCAACCUUGGAAUUGCUUUUAAAACUGCUAACCUAGAGUAUGAAAGAGGAUAGAGGAAUUCCUAGUGUAGAGGUGAAAUUCGUAAAUAUUAGGAGGAACACCAGUGGCGAAGGCGUCUCUCUGGUUCAAAUCUGACGCUGAGGCGCGAAAGCGUGGGAGCAAACAG
rnacentral:rRNA from 1 species